CAAGAGAUAUUUUAUUAUAAAAUGUUAAUUUUGGGAAUUAACGAAAAGGUUAUUAUCUUUCUUUUGA
rnacentral:tRNA from 1 species